GACGAACGCUGGCGGCGCGCCUCAUACAUGCAAGUCGAACGAGAAGCCUGGAGCUUGCUCUGGGUGGAGAGUGGCGAACGGGUGAGGAACACGUGAGGAACCUGCCCCGAAGACUGGGAUAACACCGGGAAACCGGUGCUAAUACCGGAUGUCCUCAUCGGACCGCAUGAUCCGAUGAGGAAAUGGAUUCCGCUUCGGGAUGGCCUCGCGGCCUAUCAGCUUGUUGGUGGGGUAACGGCCCACCAAGGCUUCGACGGGUAGCUGGUCUGAGAGGAUGUCCAGCCACACUGGGACUGAGACACGGCCCAGACUCCUACGGGAGGCAGCAGUAGGGAAUCUUGCGCAAUGAGCGAAAGCUUGACGCA
rnacentral:rRNA from 1 species